rnacentral:SRP_RNA from 1 species
GCCGGGCAUGGUGGCGUGUGCCUGUUAUCACAGCUAUUCCAGGGGCUGAGGCAGGAGGAUCACUUGAGCCCAGGAGUUCAAGGCUGCAGUGAGCUAUGAUUGCACUGCUGCACUUUGGCCUGGGCAACAGAGUGAGACCUGGUCUCUA